CUGAUUGCUCCUUGUCUUCUGCUUCUGAGAUGUCUGACUCAAGCUUCAGCUCAAGUGCAUCAACUGUAAUCGUAGAUGAUGCCCCUAGCAAGAGACAAAGAAUUGAGGAUACACGUGAUGCAGUGUCUGCUAAACAGUUGAUUGAAGCUGUGCUAAGAGGCAAGUCUGGUGGUAAAGAAGGAGUACCAAACAACACAAUCCCUAACAGAUGCCACAAGAAGACAAAUGGUUAACAUACUGGUGGCUCACAUGGUUGAUAAUCAUGGGCACCUUCCCACUAAAGCAAUCAGAGAAGAGUAUGCUCUUGGGAUAGUGAUGCUGUUCCCUUCCCUCAAGGAUCCAUAUUCCAAGAACACUUCUAUGAUGCUGCAUGUAGCACAGGAUACAUUUCUUGGCGUUUGAAAACAGUCCAAAGGAAGAUACGUCGAGGAUCUGAACUGCCACCAAAUGGUUCUAAUGACUUUUCUCCAGGAGGCCCAAAUUUCCAGAGGACUGUUAUUGUUGAAAGGCAGCUUGAUGGGGAUGCUUGCCAAGAGGCCAUGUCUUUGCUCAAACAUACCGCAGACAAUUCCCUGAUUUUCCAGAAGAUGAGAGAGGCUUGUUAAUGACCCAGGCAGAAGUGUUCAUAUCCUCUCCACCUUCCCAAGAUUCCUGGAUACAAAAGGAUUGGUGGAUCAAGAUUUCACUCUCCUAUUUGAUGAAGAGACAUCCUCCAGGCUGCUUCAGAAAUGGGAUGUGUUCUUCAAGCCAAAUGUCAUAAAAGUGGCUCACUUCAACACCAGAGUUGCGUCGCUUAGUGCAGUCAGCAGAAAGUCCCCCAGGAAGUGAUCUUGAUAAGGCAACAAAGUUUUCAGUUAAUUCUGCCUAUGACCAAGAAAUGGCCUCCCUGUUGUUGCUGAUACAUCUCCCACCACCACCAGGGGGACUGAAGUCUCCAAAAAUUAGUGCAUGUGAUGCAGUUGAAAGACUUGUAGUCUUUCAUGAGUCAUGCUGCAGUUUGGAGGAGCAUCUUUGCCACCAGCAGGGUCAGCAGCCAUACCUCCUUGCUGUUGGAUGUCAGAAGAGCAAGAUUGACAGCUUCUGCAUCACCAUGGAUAAGCAUCUCAUCCCAUGCCAGGCAAACCGCUUCCUCGGGGCAUUUGAUUAACUUUUCAAAGCACAUUUUGUGUUUAAUUUGUCUUAUGAUGUUGCAUUGGUGAAUUUUUACACAUUCCUGCAGACAACAGUGAAUAUCAUUGAUGUGGGGAAAACGGAGUCACCCAGAGUUAGAGACUUGAGAGCCAGACUGCUUAACCAGACAGUAGCACUCUCACUCUGUGAGUAAGAGGAUAAAACAAUGCUGACCUGUUUCAUGUGUCAGAAACUGUAUCCCAGCUGACAGCAGCUGAUUUCACAUUUAAGAGUUCAACAUGGUUACUAUCCUGGGCCCAAGUUCAGAUUGUUUUGUUCUCAGGAAGGGUGUAGGCAUCAGUUCCUAACAUAUGCAGGUUUUCGGAAGCACCUUAAUAGUGUUCAUAGCAAUGUUCAGCAAAUUGCUCAAACUUCAACUGUUGCUCUAGUGAGCCAGUUGCAACUUCAUCUCAGGCACAUGCUUUGGAGGACCAAUUUAAUCCCCAAAAUCAAUGUAGCUCUUCCAGUGAUUCUUUUGAGAGCAAUGAUUCAGGACUUACUAAAGAUCCAACCAAAGAAAUGUGUGCAUCCAUCGUGGCCAAAUUACAGGGGAAUGGGAUUUCCAACAGUUUGGUAUCCUCAAUUGUAGGAGAUUUGGAGGAACUAACAGGUGAGCUUCGCUCACAAACAAAGCAUACCAUUAUUUCUGCUUUACCUACAACUGGCCCCAACAUAUCUGUAAUAAUGAAUCUUUUGAAAAAUUUGAAAACCCGUUCACUAAUUUAAAUACAGAAUGGAAACAAAAUAAAUACUUCAACAUAAAAUGGGGAGUUGUCGAGCCAGUAGAAAUAACACUGGGAGUGAGAUAUGACAACUGGCGAAAUCAGAAAUCCAGUACUUAUGAUCAAGUACCUGUGAAGGAUACUUUUAUAUAUGUGCCGAUUUUAGAAACAUUGAAGUUCAUGUGCAGAAAUUCAGACAAAUGUGUUUUCCUAAAGAAAGAGUAUAGAUCAGAACCUGACACUUAUACUGACUUUUUUGACGGAAGUUAUUUUAAAACCCACACUUUGUUUACAGCAAAAAGACAUGCAUUACAAAUUCAACUAUACUAUGAUGAUUUUGAAACAGCCAAUCCCCUUGGCUCCAAAUGUGGACUUCACAAAAUUGGCUGUCUUUUUGUUGUAAGAAACUUGCCCCCAAAAUUUAAUUUGGUUUUGAUGAACAUUCAUUUAGUAUCACUUUUUCACGCGCAAGAUCUGCACAAGUAUGGUUUUGAUGUUAUUCUGGAACCAUUGAUAAUUGAUAUUAAAAAAAGUGGAAAGCCAAGGACUAAGUCUUCCAUUUUAUGAUGAGCAGGUAUAUGGUACAAUCUCACAGAUCACUGGAGAUAAUCUAGGGAUGCACACAAUUCUUGGUUUUAAUGAGUCAUUCAGUAGCCGUCAUUUCUGUUGCCUUUGUUUGAUUGAGAAGAAUGAUUGUCAAACGAUAUACAGUGAGGAUGAUCCUAAGGUGAUCCUUUGUGGAAAAGAUAUUUUUGAAAUGCAUUGCCAGUCUCUCCAGGAAAACCCACAAUUGAAUUCACUAUAUGGUUUGAAAAAAUAAUAUACACUUAAUUCAUUGAUUUCCAUGUUUUGGAGAGUGCUGGCAAUGGCAUUGGUUUGAAUUCUAUUUAGACGUUUCUUGUGAAAAACAUCCCACUGUUGUUUGGUGACAUUAUUCCUGCAGGAAAAAAAACUGGAAUUUGUUACUGUUGUUACUUCAAAUAAUGAACAUAGAUUUUUCACCUUCUCUCACUCUAGGUAUGACAAUAUAUUUAAAGCAUUUGAUUGUUGACCACCACAAACUAUUUAAGCACUUGUAUCCAUAUAGGAACUUGAUACCUAAGCAUCAUUUUAUGAUCCAUUACCUAUCUUCUAUAAGGAAAAUUGGCCCCUUAUUACAUACGUGGUGUAUGAGGUUUGAAGCCAAACACAAGCUGUUUAAAUCUUCUUUUAAAAAUUUCAAAAACAACCAAAUCACUUGCUAAAAAGCAUCAGAUGGCCAUUGCUUAUCACUGGGAAACCUUCACCCUCAGACAAAAUGAGUACGGGCCAAUUACAUCUUUUUCCCUCAGAGAUGAGAAUAUGGUCAACAAUGAAAUGCUUGAAAUGAUCUUGUCAAAAGAUGUUUUCUCAACUAGUUGGGUUAAAGUUGAUGGUGUAGAGUAUAAAGCUGGACUUGUUAUUUGCAGUGCAGUGGAAGAAGACAUGGCAGUCUUUUGUCAAAUAAGUGACAUACUUCUGGUUGGAAAUAAAAAAAAUUUAUUGACAAGCUAUUCAUAGAGAGUUUUGAUGACCAUCAUCAUUCAUUCAGAGUAUUACGAAGUGAGGAAAGGUGUAUAAUAAAAAUGUCUGAGCUUAAAUUUCAUAAACCGUUUGAUAUUCAAAGCUCAUACAACGUUUCAGAUGAAAGUUUGUACAUUAUACCUUCAUUCACAAUGUUUUAAUUCAACUGUAUGAAUGGCUGCAA